UACGUAGGGACCAAGCGUUGUUCGGAUUUACUGGGCGUAAAGGGCGCGUAGGCGGCAAUUCAAGUCAGUUGUGAAAUCUCCGAGCUUAACUCGGAACGGUCAACUGAUACUGUUUUGCUAGAGUGCAGAAAGGGCAACCGGAAUUCUUGGCGUAGCGGUGAAAUGCGUAGAUAUCAAGUGGAACACCAGUGGCGAAGGCGAGUCCCUGGAAAACUCCUGACACUGAGGCACGAAAGCUAGGGGAGCAAACAGG
rnacentral:rRNA from 1 species